rnacentral:rRNA from 1 species
UACGAAGGGGGCAAGCGUUGUUCGGAAUUACUGGGCGUAAAGGGCGCGUAGGCGGCUUAUCAAGUCAGGCGUGAAAUUCCCGGGCUCAACCUGGGGGCUGCGCUUGAUGCUGAUUGGCUUGAAUGCGGGAGAGGAUAGUGGAAUUCCCAGUGUAGAGGUGAAAUUCGUAGAUAUUGGGAAGAACACCGGUGGCGAAGGCGGCUAUCUGGCCCGUAAUUGACGCUGAGGCGCGAAAGCGUGGGGAGCAAACAGG